CAGUAGCCGCGGGAAUACGAAGGGUGCAAGCGUUAAUCGGAAUUACUGGGCGUAAAGCGUGCGUAGGCGGUGAGUUAAGUCUGCUGUGAAAUCCCCGGGCUCAACCUGGGAAUUGCAGUGGAUACUGGGUCACUAGAGUGUGGUAGAGGAUAGUGGAAUUUCCGGUGUAGCAGUGAAAUGCGUAGAGAUCGGAAGGAACAUCUGUGGCGAAGGCGACUAUCUGGGCCAACACUGACACUGAGGCACGAAAGCGUGGGGAGCAAACAGGAUUAGAUACCCACGUAGUCCCUGUCUCUUAUAC
rnacentral:rRNA from 1 species